rnacentral:rRNA from 1 species
GAUGAACGCUGGCGGCGUGCCUAAUACAUGCAAGUCGAGCGAACAGACGAGGAGCUUGCUCCUUCGACGUUAGCGGCGGACGGGUGAGUAACACGUAGGUAACCUACCUAUAAGACUGGGAUAACUUCGGGAAACCGGAGCUAAUACCGGAUAAUAUUUCGAACCGCAUGGUUCGAUAGUGAAAGAUGGCUUUGCUAUCACUUAUAGAUGGACCUGCGCCGUAUUAGCUAGUUGGUAAGGUAACGGCUUACCAAGGCAACGAUACGUAGCCGACCUGAGAGGGUGAUCGGCCACACUGGGACUGAGACACGGUCCAGACUCCUACGGGAGGCAGCAGUAGGGAAUCUUCCGCAAUGGGCGAAAGCCUGACGGAGCAACGCCGCGUGAGUGAUGAAGGUCUUCGGAUCGUAAAACUCUGUUAUUAGGGAAGAACAAACGUGUAAGUAACUGUGCACGUCUUGACGGUACCUAAUCAGAAAGCCACGGCUAACUACGUG